rnacentral:rRNA from 1 species
AAAUUGAAGAGUUUGAUCAUGGCUCAGAUUGAACGCUGGCGGCAGGCCUAACACAUGCAAGUCGAACGGUAACAGGAAGCAGCUUGCUGCUUCGCUGACGAGUGGCGGACGGGUGAGUAAUGUCUGGGAAACUGCCUGAUGGAGGGGGAUAACUACUGGAAACGGUGGCUAAUACCGCAUAACGUCGCAAGACCAAAGAGGGGGACCUUCGGGCCUCUUGCCAUCAGAUGUGCCCAGAUGGGAUUAGCUGGUUGGUGAGGUAACGGCUCACCAAGGCGACGAUCCCUAGCUGGUCUGAGAGGAUGACCAGCCACACUGGAACUGAGACACGGUCCAGACUCCUACGGGAGGCAGCAGUGGGGAAUAUUGCACAAUGGGCGCAAGCCUGAUGCAGCCAUGCCGCGUGUAUGAAGAAGGCCUUCGGGUUGUAAAGUACUUUCAGCGGGGAGGAAGGUGUUGUGGUUAAUAACCGCAGCAAUUGACGUUACCCGCAGAAGAAGCACCGGCUAACUCCGUGCCAGCAGCCGCGGUAAUACGGAGGGUGCAAGCGUUAAUCGGAAUUACUGGGCGUAAAGCGCACGCAGGCGGUCUGUCAAGUCGGAUGUGAAAUCCCCGGGCUCAACCUGGGAACUGCAUUCGAAACUGGCAGGCUUGAGUCUUGUAGAGGGGGGUAGAAUUCCAGGUGUAGCGGUGAAAUGCGUAGAGAUCUGGAGGAAUACCGGUGGCGAAGGCGGCCCCCUGGACAAAGACUGACGCUCAGGUGCGAAAGCGUGGGGAGCAAACAGGAUUAGAUACCCUGGUAGUCCACGCCGUAAACGAUGUCUACUUGGAGGUUGUGCCCUUGAGGCGUGGCUUCCGGAGCUAACGCGUUAAGUAGACCGCCUGGGGAGUACGGCCGCAAGGUUAAAACUCAAAUGAAUUGACGGGGGCCCGCACAAGCGGUGGAGCAUGUGGUUUAAUUCGAUGCAACGCGAAGAACCUUACCUGGUCUUGACAUCCACGGAAGUUUUCAGAGAUGAGAAUGUGCCUUCGGGAACCGUGAGACAGGUGCUGCAUGGCUGUCGUCAGCUCGUGUUGUGAAAUGUUGGGUUAAGUCCCGCAACGAGCGCAACCCUUAUCCUUUGUUGCCAGCGGUCCGGCCGGGAACUCAAAGGAGACUGCCAGUGAUAAACUGGAGGAAGGUGGGGAUGACGUCAAGUCAUCAUGGCCCUUACGACCAGGGCUACACACGUGCUACAAUGGCGCAUACAAAGAGAAGCGACCUCGCGAGAGCAAGCGGACCUCAUAAAGUGCGUCGUAGUCCGGAUUGGAGUCUGCAACUCGACUCCAUGAAGUCGGAAUCGCUAGUAAUCGUGGAUCAGAAUGCCACGGUGAAUACGUUCCCGGGCCUUGUACACACCGCCCGUCACACCAUGGGAGUGGGUUGCAAAAGAAGUAGGUAGCUUAACCUUCGGGAGGGCGCUUACCACUUUGUGAUUCAUGACUGGGGUGAAGUCGUAACAAGGUAACCGUAGGGGAACCUGCGGUUGGAUCACCUCCUUACCUUAAAGAA